UUCCAGAAGGCUCCUCAGAUAUCCUGC
rnacentral:piRNA from 1 species